AGAGUUUGAUCCUGGCUCAGAACGAACGUUGGCGGCGUGGUUGAGGCAUGCAAGUCGCACGAGAAAGAGGUAGCAAUACCUCUAGUAAAGUGGCGGAAGGGUGAGUAAUGGGUAGAUAACGUACCUUCGAGAUGGGCACAACGGUCCGAAAGGACCGCUAAUUCCCGGUAAGACCCCGAUUGGGCAUCCAAUUGUGGUCAGAGGCGGGGGAUCUUUGGACCUCGCGCUUGAAGAUCGGUCUACUCCCUACCAGCUAGUUGGCGGGGUAACGGCCCACCAAGGCUACGACGGGUACCCGGGCUGAGAGGCUGACCGGGCACAUCGGCACUGAGACACUGGCCGGACACCUACGGGUGGCUGCAGUUCGGAAUAUUCGGCAAUGGACGAAAGUCUGACCGAGCGACGCCGCGUGCGGGAUGAAGGCCCUUUGGGUUGUAAACCGCUUUCGCAGGUGAGCAAAUCACAUUGGACUAACAAUUCAGUGUGUUGAGUAAGCCUAAAGAGCCCCA
rnacentral:rRNA from 1 species